rnacentral:snRNA from 1 species
AUCUUUAUGCAGGGGCAUUACGUGUAUCAGUGAGGAUUCGUCCGAGAUCAUGUUUUUGCUGGUUGAAAACUAUAACCUGACAGCUUCCUGGUGGGCCGGGCUUGCUCUGGUCCGCCAGGGGAAUUUUUGGACUCUUUUUUU